GUGGGAGAUGAGCUGAGAAGGCAAGCACAGACAGGGCGUUGACAGCUGUUCCACCAGUAUGGAUAUACAAUGGAAUAUUACUCAACCGUAAGAAGGAGUGAAAUAAUGUCAUUUGCAGAUGAUGGAUCUAGAGACUGCCAAAGAGACUGAAAUACCUGAUACUGUAGAAUGAUGCCAGAAUUUAUGAACUCUUUCUUGGAUUUAUCCUCUCAUAAACCUCCAGUCACAGGAAGGUGGUGAUUAAGAAGAUGGGCAUUAGAGUCAGAGGAUUCAAGCGUAGCUCCACCAUUCCUAAGCAAUGAUACUACCACCGGGGAAGCUGGGAAACUUGAGGAGACAUGGGAGCACUUAACACAGUAUCUGCACAAAGACAUGGUGAGAAAAUUAUGGUGAAGAGAGAUUAAGUAACUUGUCCAAGGGCACACAGCCUGUGCGGGAAGAUAACUUCUCCUACCUAAUCAAGGGAAUCUAUCAAGCACUAACAAUAAACAUUAGUCUAAAUGGUAAAACUUCAGAAGCAUAUCUGGUAACAUGAGAUGAAGAUGUCUGCAAAAUCAAACUGGAAUUCCUAAUCAAAGGAAUAAAAGAAAAGAGGUAUCAGAGCUAGAAAAGAAGAUGCAAAAUUUUAACUGGUAAGCCAUAUAAUUACCUUCCUAAAAUAUUCAAAAGAACCUUGAGAUAAACUUAUAAAAUUAAGAGAAUUCAGAUUAUUUGACUUGAGAUUGACAGGCAAAAAGCAAUAGCAAUUUAAACACUAGCAAUAACAAAUAGGAAAUACAAUUCAAAAAUUUUAAUUAAGACAUUUAUGGAGAAUAUCACAAAAACUAUGUUAAAGAACAUAACAUUAAUAUGGUACAAAAAUACAAUUGGGAUACAUAUACAAAUGACACUGACCUUUGGAAAGAAAAGAGAAUGGGGCAGGACAAAGGAAACAGAGAGAUUUUAAUGCUUUAUUUAAAAAAGAAAAAACAACUGAAGGGAAUGAAAGUUAACGCUUGUUUAUUUUGAAGGUGAAUAUCAUAGGUGUUCUUUCAGUUCAGUCGCUCAGUCGUGCCUGAAUAUUUGUGACCCCAUGGACUGCAGCACGCCAGGCUUCUCUGUCCAUCACCAACUGCUGGAGCUUGCUCAAACUCAUGUACAUCAAGUCAGUGAUGCCAUCCAACCAUCGCAUCCUCAGUUGUCCCCUUCUCCUCCUGCCUUCAAUGUUUCCCAGCAUCAGGGUCUUUUCCAAUGAAAAGUUCAGUUCUUCGCAUCAGGUGGCCAAAGUAUUGGAGUUUCAGCUUCAGCAUCAGUCCUUCCAAUGAACACCCAGGACUGAUCUCCUUUAGGAUGGACUGGUUGGAUCUCCUUGCAGCUCAAGGGACUCUCAAGAGUCUUCUCCAACACCACAAUUCAAAAGCAUCAAUUCUUUGGUGCUCAACUUUCUUUAUGGUCCAACUCUCACAUCCAUACAUGACUGCUGGAAAAACCAAAGCUUUGACUUGACAGACCUUUGUUGGAAAAAUAAUGUCUCUGCUUUUUAAUAUGCUGCCUAGGUUGGUCAUAGCUUUUCUUCCAAGGAGCGUCUUGCAAUUUCACGGCAGCAGUCACUGUCCUCAGUGAUCUUGGAGCCAAGAAAAGAAAGUUUGUCACGUCACUGUUUCCCCUGUCUCUCCAUCUAUUUCCCAUGAAGUGAUGGGACCGGAUGCCAUGAUCUUAGUUUUUUGAAUGUUAAGUUUUAAACCAACUUUUUCACUCUCCUCUUUCCCUUUCAGCAAGAGGCUCUUUAGUUCUUCUUUGCUUUCUGCCAUAAGGGUGGUAUCAUCUGCACAUCUGAGGUUAUUGAUAUUUCUCCUGGCAAUCUUGAUUCCACCUUGUGCUUCAUCCAGCCUGGCAUUUCACAUGUUUACUCUGCAUAUAAGUUAAAGAAGCAGGGUGAUGAUAUACAGCCUUGAGGUAUUCCUUAUCCUAUUUGGAACCAGUCUGUUGUUCCAUGUCUGGUUCUAACUGUUGCUUCCUGACGUGCAUACAGAUUUCUCAUGAGUCAGGUAAAAUGUAAAAGUGAAAGUUACUCAGUCGUGUCCGACUCUUUGCCACCCCGUGGACUAUACAGUCCAUGGAAUUCUCCAGAUCAGAACUGGAGUGGGUGGCCUUUCCUUUCUCCAGGGAAUCUUCCCAACUCAGGGAUCAAACUCAGGUCUCUCACAUUGCAGAUGGAUUCUUUACCAGCUGAGCCACAAGGGAAGCCCCGUGGCAGGUAAAGUGGUCUGGUAUUCCCAUUUCUCAGAAUUUUCCACAGUUUGUUGUGAUCCAGACAAUCAAAGGCUUUGGCGUAGUCAAUAAAGGAAAAGUAGAUGCUUUUCUGGAACUCUCUUGCUUUUUUGAUGAUCCAGUGAAUGUUGGCAAUUUGCUCUCUGGUUCCUCUGACUUUUCUAAAUCCAGCUUGAACAUCUGGAAGUUCGCAGUUCACAUACUGUUGAAGCCUGGCUUGGAGAAUUUUGACCAUUACUUUGCUAGUCUGUGAGACGAGUGCAAUCAUGCGGUAGUUUGAAAAUUCUUUGGCAUUGCCUUUCUUUGGGAUUGGAAUGAAAACUGACCUUUUCCAGUCCUGUGGCCACUGCUGAGUUUUCCAAAUUUGCUGGCAUAUUGAGUGUAUCUCUUUCACAGCAUCAUCUUUCAGGAUUUGAAAUAGCUCAACUGGAAUUCCAUCACCUCUACUCGCUUUGUUUGUAGUGAUGCUUCCUAAGGCCCACUUGACUUUGCUUUCCAGGAUGUCUGGCUCUAGGUGGGUGAUCACACCAUUGUGGUUAUCUGGGUCAUGAAGAUCUUUUGCUGAGAAUCUCAUGAACAGUAUGAAAAGGCAAAAAGGUAUUCAUUUCAUUUUCUAUAUGUUGAGAUUUCUUCCCAAAUAUAAAUGAAUUCGGAAAGGGAUCUCACUGAUCAGAAAGAAGGAUCUUAGGGGACAAUAAUUAUAAAGAUGUCUUCAAAUAUUACUGAAUCAAUUACCAUCAUCAAUUAUCCAUUACCAUUUAUAAUAUAUGGCUGAUUCAUAUCAAUGUAUGACAAA